CCCCCCAAGAAAUUCUUCCCCAAACGUGGAGGUAAUGUGUGUGUGGAGUAUGUUCGUAUUCCUGUUGGAGCCACCAAGCGUCAGAUGAUUGAGAAGAGCUUUGUGCCCCCGGAGGAUGAGAAGGACAUUGCUCCGUUUGACCUAGGAAGCAGUGGGCCUGGGCUAACAAGGUACUGUUUGGUCCCCAGAGAGACAUGAAGAACUUCCCCAGCUUCGUGAACCCCGGCAGGUGCCCCAGCCAGAGACCGCUCAUAAGUUUGUACCGAGGAACGUGUUUGAUGCAAUGCAGCCCUACAGCGGAGUCACAGGAUUCUACGUACUCACUGCUGGUGGUUUCUUUGCUGCCAUUGCUAAGGGUGUCCUUAUGUCAGCUACCCCCUUUGGCUUACUUCUAUUACUUUGGCAUUCUGUGGGGCUUUACCAAACUACCCCCUGUUAGGAGGUUCCUAGAUAACAGAGUACCAUUCCUA